rnacentral:rRNA from 1 species
UUGGAGGGCAAGUCUGGUGCCAGCAGCCGCGGUAAUUCCAGCUCCAAUAGCGUAUAUUAAAGUUGUUGCAGUUAAAAAGCUCGUAGUUGAAUUUCGGGGUUCAUACGUUGGUCGGGCUUAUUGGUCUGUACUUAUGUAAUGGAUUCCCACCUUCUGAAUAACCGGCAUGCCAUUAAUUUGGUGCGCCGGGGAAGCAGGACUGUUACCUUGAAAAAAUUAGAGUGCUUAAAGCAGGCUUAUGCCUGAAUACAUUAGCAUGGAAUAAUGAAAUAGGACGGCAUGGUUCUAUUUUGUUGGUUUCUAGGAUUGACGUAAUGAUUAAUAGGGAUAGUUGGGGGCAUUAGUAUUCAAUUGUCAGAGGUGAAAUUCUUGGAUUUAUUGAAGACUAACUACUGCGAAAGCAUUUGCCAAGGAUGUUUUCAUUAAUCAAGAACGAAAGUUAGGGGAUCGAAGACGAUCAGAUACCGUCGUAGUCUUAACCAUAAACUAUGCCGACUAGGGAUCGGAUGAUGUUAAUUUUUUAAUGACUCAUUCGGCGCCUUACGGGAAAC